GCGUCGAUGGUGUAGUCUGGUAUCAUUCUGGCCUUCCAAGCCGGUGACCCGGGUUCAAAUCCCGGUCGGCGCA
rnacentral:tRNA from 2 species